CUUUUUGUGACCAGCUGAGGACCGUGCCUCUCUGACAUCGGCCCUCUGAGGAGAGGCAGGGAUCAUGGCUCUACUCUUUUGGGGUUCCCCGGAUAUUCAUCUGAAACUGGUAAAUCUUUCCAAGCGCCGUAGGUGCUGAAAGGUCUGCUCUCAAAAACAAAGAAUGUACCACAGCUGUGACGGAAAGCAUCCAGCGUCCUCAGAAGGACCAAAGAACGGUCAAAGCAGAAAAGAAUUGCGAGGGUCGAGAGUGGAGUCGGCGUGAAUGCCCCACUUAAGGAGACGCAGGGAGCUCUACUCGCUUGGCUGGGAAGCCGAAGAUUCUAGAGUAUAAGAAAGGUCACAAACCAAAGAGCCCUUAGAUGGUCACAGGGGUGAGUCCUUGUCUGGGACCAAGUCCAAUCUUUUCAUUCUCCAGAUGAGGAGACUGGAUCAGAGAGGCAGAAGUGACUUAGCCGGUUAGUGGAAGCAUCUAGACUAGCUCCUCAGACUUCCAAGCCAAUUAUCUUCCUGCUCAUUACAUCCUCACUCGAGCCCCAAGUGGAUUUUUAUCUGUU
rnacentral:lncRNA from 1 species